GCAGUCGAGGGGUAGAGGAAGCUUGCUUCCUUGAGACCGGCGCACGGGUGCGUAACGCGUAUGCAAUCUACCUUGUACAGGGGGAUAGCCCAGAGAAAUUUGGAUUAAUACCCCAUAGUGUAAUUGAAUGGCAUCAUUUAAUUACUAAAGUUCCAACGGUACAAGAUGAGCAUGCGUCCUAUUAGCUAGUUGGUAUGGUAACGGCAUACCAAGGCUACGAUAGGUAGGGGUCCUGAGAGGGAGAUCCCCCACACUGGUACUGAGACACGGACCAGACUCCUACGGGAGGCAGCAGUGAGGAAUAUUGGACAAUGGGCGCAAGCCUGAUCCAGCCAUGCCGCGUGCAGGAAGAAGCAUCUAUGGUGUGUAAACUGCUUUUGUACGGGAAGAAACACUCCGACGUGUCGGAGCUUGACGGUACCGUAAGAAUAAGGAUCGGCUAACUCCGUGCCAGCAGCCGCGGUAAUACGGAGGAUCCAAGCGUUAUCCGGAAUCAUUGGGUUUAAAGGGUCCGUAGGCGGUUUAAUAAGUCAGUGGUGAAAGCCCAUCGCUUAACGAUGGAACGGCCAUUGAUACUGUUAGACUUGAAUUAUUGGGAAGUAACUAGAAUAUGUAGUGUAGCGGUGAAAUGCUUAGAUAUUACAUGGAAUACCAAUUGCGAAGGCAGGUUACUACCAAUACAUUGACGCUGAUGGACGAAAGCGUGGGGAGCGAACAGGAUUAGAUACCCUGGUAGUCCACGCCGUAAACGAUGGAUACUAGCUGUUCGGAGCAAUCUGAGUGGCUAAGCGAAAGUGAUAAGUAUCCCACCUGGGGAGUACGUUCGCAAGAAUGAAAC
rnacentral:rRNA from 1 species